CCUGCAAAGCGAUGAGAUGGUAGUGAGCACCGUUUCGGUCCCUUUCCACCAACUGUCUAUUGUGACACUAUGGAGCUAACUAGCAGAGCUGCUGAAAUCACAGGCUUCCAUCCGCAGUUUUGGCAGGAGGGUCCUACUUCCUUAAACCUUGUUUUUAAAUGUCAUAAGCCUUCCCUCAAGUCCCUCUCAGGAGAAAGCAAAGAAUGAGGUAGAAGAGAAAUGGGGAAAAUAUGCAUCUUCCUCUCUUUGGGGACUUGAUGCUGGAAGAAACAAAGAUCAAAGAGUGGCGCACAGACGGC